rnacentral:rRNA from 1 species
GAUGAACGCUAGCGGCAGGCUUAAUACAUGCAAGUUGAGGGGCAGCAUGAUAUACGUAAGUAUAUUGAUGGCGACCGGCGGACGGGUGAGUAAAAGGUAGGAGACCUACCUCAUACAGGGGGAUAACAUAGAGAAAUCUGUGGUAAUACCCCAUGAGGUUAUAUGAAUAGAGGCAUAUAAUCAAAGUAUACGAGAGUAUGCGGUAUGAGAUGGGCCUACUGACCAUUAGCUAGUUGGUGAGGUAAGGGCUCACCAAGGCGAAGAUGGUUAGGGGUUUUGAGAGAGAGAUCCCCCACAUUGGAACUGAGAUACGGUCCAGACUCCUACGGGAGGCAGCAGUAGGGAAUAUUGGGCAAUGGGCGAAAGCCUGACCCAGCCAUGCCGCGUGAAGGAAGACGGCCUUAUGGGUUGUAAACUUCUUUACUAUACGAAUAGAGGUUAGUACGAGUUACUAAUAGGAAGGUAGUAUAGCAAAAAGCACCGGCUAACUCCGUGCC